AUGGCUCAGGACGAACGCUGGCGGCAUGCCUAACACAUGCAAGUCGAACGGAGUUAAGGGGCUUGCUCCUAAACUAGUGGCGGACGGGUGAGUAACGCGUGAGCAACCUGCCUCUCAGUGGGGAAUAAUGUACUGAAAAGGACACUAAUACCGCAUGACGUACCGGAGUCGCAUGGCACUGGUACCAAAGAUUUAUCGCUGAGAGAUGGGCUCGCGUCCGAUUAGCUGGUUGGUGAGGUAACGGCUCACCAAGGCGACGAUCGGUAGCCGGACUGAGAGGUUGAACGGCCACAUUGGGACUGAGACACGGCCCAGACUCCUACGGGAGGCAGCAGUGGGGGAUAUUGCGCAAUGGGGGCAACCCUGACGCCAGCAAUGCCGCGUGAAGGAUGAAGGUCUUCGGAUUGUAAACUUCUUUUGUCAGGGACGAUAAUGACGGUACCUGACGAAUAAGCUCCGGCUAACUACGUGCCAGCCGCCGC
rnacentral:rRNA from 1 species